AACGAACGCUGGCGGCGUGGAUAAGACAUGCAAGUCGAACGCUUGUUAUAGGGUAGCAAUAUUCUGUAGCAGGAGUGGCGGAAGGGUGCGUAACAUGUGGGUAAUCUGCCGUGAAGACAGGGAUAACUUGCUGAAAGGCGAGCUAAUACCGGAUGAGAUAACUAAGAGGCAGCUUUUGGUUAUGAAAGUUGGGGACGUGUAAAAGGACCUAACGCUUCAUGAUGAGCCCGCAACCUAUCAGCUAGUUGGUGAGGUAAAGGCUCACCAAGGCUAAGACGGGUAGCUGGUCUGAGAGGACGACCAGCCACACUGGAACUGAGAGACGGUCCAGACACCUACGGGU
rnacentral:rRNA from 1 species